rnacentral:rRNA from 1 species
GCUGGCGGCACGCCUAACACAUGCAAGUCGAGCGGGGUAGCAAUACCUAGCGGCAGACGGGUGCGUAACAUGUGGGAAUCUGCCUUUUGGUUCGGAACAACACGGGGAAACCUGUGCUAAUACCGGAUAAGUCCUUACGGAGAAAGUUUUAAUGCCAAAAGAUGAGCCCGCAUUUGAUUAGCUAGUUGGUGAGGUAAGAGCUCACCAAGGCGAUAAUCAAUAGCUGAUUUGAGAGGAUGAUCAGCCACACUGGGACUGAGAUACGGCCCAGACUCCUACGGGAGGCAGCAGUGG